rnacentral:rRNA from 1 species
GUGAANCAUCGAAUCUUUGAACGCACAUUGCGCCCCCUGGUAUUCCGGGG